AAUUUCUAGAAAUGGAUCACCACUGAUUUUUUAACACUUUUCAUCUUUUAACGAUACAUUGAACCUUUUUAAGAGAAAUAAAGAAACCACCCUCUCCAAGACAGUGUAUCUCUUCUUCAACUAGUGUAACCUUAUGCCGUGAGACUAGCAAUUUUAUUGAAGGCUCCUCUCGUUGUCCUUCGAGUUUGUACUCUCCUUGGUUUUGCGACUUUCAGUAAUCGUUCUCAGAUUCUUGAUGUCUUUUGCUAUUAUGUCUUCUAAGAUGUAGUUCUGCUAUAUAAACUUCCUUCUCGUUCAAAAUUUUGUGAAAAUACAAAAAAAUCCAUCUUAUUAAUUUUGCAAAUUCCAGAUUCAAAAAAAAAAAAUCUGUGCAUGUAUGCAUUAAUUUGUGCUUAAAGCCGCAUCAUAAAAAUAUAAUAGACUGAAACAUUACUCAUAAUUAACCUUGAACUUAAACUAUAUCUUUAUAUAUAAAAGAGGCUUUGUUUCUCUCCCAGGGUGUCCAGCUCGGAUGCCACGUCAUCAA
rnacentral:lncRNA from 1 species